GACAGAGGGUGCAAACGUUGUUCGGAUUUACUGGGCGUAAAGCGCGUGUAGGCGGCUUUGCAAGUCGGAUGUGAAAGCCCACGGCUCAACCGUGGAAGUGCAUCCGAAACUGCAUGGCUUGAGUCUCGGAGAGGAAGGUGGAAUGCUUGGUGUAGAGGUGAAAUUCGUAGAUAUCAAGCAGAACACCUGCGGCGAAGGCGGCCUUCUGGACGAUGACUGACGCUGAGGCGCGAAAGCCAGGGGAGCGAACGGG
rnacentral:rRNA from 1 species